GCUUGGAUGGCUCAGUUGGUUGAGCAUCCGACUUCGGCUCGGGCCAUGAUCUCCUGGUUUGUGAGUUCGAACCCCACCUCGGCCU
rnacentral:tRNA from 1 species